rnacentral:sRNA from 1 species
UCAAGUGAAUUUGCAAGUAUCCCUGCAAACAGCUCCCGGCCUCUGUCAAACAUCAGCAAGUCAGGCAGAAUGGGACCCGCCAUGCUGCGGUCAGCUCUGCCUGCAGGCCCUGUGGGGGCAUCCUCCUGGCAAGCCAAGCGGGUCGAUGUUCCUGAGCUGGCAGCGGAGCAGCCCAUGGCGCCCCCCUCAACGUCCCCCACCCAACCCCAGACUCCGGAAGGUGGCGGCCAGUGGCUGAACUCCAGUUCCACUUGGUCAGAAUCUUCUCAAUUGAAUAAGACUAGAAGUAUCAGACGGCGAGAUUCCUAUCUAAAUUCCAAGACAAAGGUUAUGCCUACUCCUACAAACCAAUUUAAAAUUCCUAAGUUUUCUAUUGGUGACUCCCCGGACAGCUCAACACCAAAGCUUUCACGGGCACAGCGGCCGCAGUCGUGCACGUCAGUUGGCAGGGUCACUGUCCACAGCACCCCAGUUAGACGCUCAUCCGGGCCAGCACCACAAAGCCUGUUGAGCGCACGGCGUGUGUCAGCCUUGCCCACACCCGCCAGCCGGCGCUUCUCUGGCCUUCCACCGAUGACCCCCAAAACGAUGCCCAGGGCCGUGGCCUCUCCCCUGUGUGUGCCAGCUCGGAGACUUUCCUCUGAGCCCCGCAAGAACUCUGCAAUGAGAACUGAACCAACAAGGGAAAGCAACAGAAAGACAGAUUCCAGGCUGGUGGAUGUGUCCCCUGACAGGGGUUCUCCUCCUUCCCGUGUGCCUCAGGCACUUAACUUUUCUCCAGAGGAAAGCGAUUCUACUUUCUCCAAAAGUACCGCCACAGAAGUAGCUCGGGAGGAAGCCAAGCCGGGUGGAGAUGCAGCCCCUAGUGAGGUGGGCAGAACGGGCGCAGCUGGGUUCUGUUAGCUGAGAUUCCUAGAGGCUGCUCGGGAAGCCCGUGGAACCCAGGACUGUGGCUGGCGGAGUUCUCUGCCAUGCUUCAUCCUGGGGCCAGUGCCUCCGUGCCAAGCAACCCAAAGGGACAGGACUUCCAGGCCUCCAGGGGAGAAAAAAGUGACACCUUUGCCCUGCAUUUGACUAAGGCAAGGGUCAGGGAUCAAAGCUGAGGCAGCGGGAAGCAGG